rnacentral:rRNA from 1 species
GACGAACGCUGGCGGCGUGCUUAACACAUGCAAGUCGAGCGGAAAGGCCCUUCGGGGUACUCGAGCGGCGAACGGGUGAGUAACACGUGAGUAACCUGCCCUAGGCUUUGGGAUAACCCUCGGAAACGGGGGCUAAUACCGGAUAUUCAUUCUUGGCGGCAUCGUCGGGUGUGGAAAGUUUUUUCGGCCUGGGAUGGGCUCGCGGCCUAUCAGCUUGUUGGUGGGGUGAUGGCCUACCAAGGCGACGACGGGUAGCCGGCCUGAGAGGGCGACCGGCCACACUGGGACUGAGACACGGCCCAGACUCCUACGGGAGGCAGCAGUGGGGAAUAUUGCACAAUGGGCGGAAGCCUGAUGCAGCGACGCCGCGUGAGGGAUGAAGGCCUUCGGGUUGUAAACCUCUUUCGACAGGGACGAAGCGCAAGUGACGGUACCUGGAGAAGAAGCGCCGGCCAACUACGUGCCAGCAGC